rnacentral:sRNA from 1 species
AUGGCUGUCGUCAGCUCGUGUCGUGAGAUGUUGGGUUAAGUCCCGCAACGAGCGCAACCCUCGUUCUAUGUUGCCAGCGGGUUAUGCCGGGGACUCAUAGGAGACUGCCGGGGUCAACUCGGAGGAAGGUGGGGAUGACGUCAAGUCAUCAUGCCCCUUAUGUCCAGGGCUUCACACAUGCUACAAUGGCGAGUACAGAGGGCUGCGAGACCGCAAGGUGGAGCGAAUCCCUUAAAGCUUGUCUCAGUUCGGAUUGGGGUCUGCAACUCGACCCCAUGAAGUCGGAGUCGCUAGUAAUCGCAGAUCAGCAACGCUGCGGUGAAUACGUUCCCGGGCCUUGUACACACCGCCCGUCACGUCACGAAAGUUGGUAACACCCGAAGCCCAUGGCCCAACCCGACUUGUUGGGGGGGAGUGGUCGAAGGUGGGACCGGCGAUUGGGACGAAGUCGUAACAAGGUAGCCGUACCGGAAGGUGCGGCUGGAUCACCUCCUUUCUAAGGAGCCUUCCCGUGUGGGAGGGUGUCACCCGGUUGUUUCGGGUGUUCCUUUUCUCAAAUACCUCAUGCUCCUGUUGUUGUGGGGGUGUGGGGCUGGGUGGAACACAAGAGAGCUUCCAGAAAAAGCGUUGACUCCUUUUGGUGGGGUUGGGUUUGGCACACUGUUGGGUCCUGAGAAGACACCUGGUGAAAGGGGUGUUGUUCUUGGGCUGCUCCUGGCUUGGACCGUCUAACGCACUGUGGCUUUCCUGCGUGUUGUUUCGUGGGUUGGGUGGGUGUGGUGGUGGUUGUGGUGGGUUGGGGUGUGGUGGUGUGUUGAGUGUUGCAUAGUGGAUGCGAGCAUCUGAUUUUGUUUGUGGUCAAGUAGUUAAGGGCACAGGGUGGAUGUCUGGGCAUCAGGAGCCGAUGAAGGACGUGGGAGGCCGCGAUAGUCCUCGGGGAGUUGUCAACCUAGCUGUGAUCCGAGGGUGUCCGAAUGGGGAAACCCGG